rnacentral:sRNA from 1 species
GUCUGCACUUGUCGGUGAAGGGUGAGAACCUUCGAUUAAGGUUCGACUCGAGCGAAAGCAAGAGAACGUUGCC